CGCAGCGAGAGGUGCUUGCACCUUUCAAGCGAGUGGCGAACGGGUGAGUAACACGUGGAUAACCUGCCUCAAGGCUGGGGAUAACAUUUGGAAACAGAUGCUAAUACCGAAUAAAACUUAGUAUCGCAUGAUAUCAAGUUAAAAGGCGCUACGGCGUCACCUAGAGAUGGAUCCGCGGUGCAUUAGUUAGUUGGUGGGGUAAAGGCUUACCAAGACAAUGAUGCAUAGCCGAGUUGAGAGACUGAUCGGCCACAUUGGGACUGAGACACGGCCCAAACUCCUACGGGAGGCUGCAGUAGGGAAUCUUCCACAAUGGGCGCAAGCCUGAUGGAGCAACGCCGCGUGUGUGAUGAAGGCUUUCGGGUCGUAAAGCACUGUUGUAUGGGAAGAAAUGCUAAAAUAGGGAAUGAUUUUAGUUUGACGGUACCAUACCAGAAAGGGACGGCUAAAUACGUGCCAGCAGCCGCGGUAAUACGUAUGUCCCGAGCGUUAUCCGGAUUUAUUGGGCGUAAAGCGAGCGCAGACGGUUGAUUAAGUCUGAUGUGAAAGCCCGGAGCUCAACUCCGGAAUGGCAUUGGAAACUGGUUAACUUGAGUGUUGUAGAGGUAAGUGGAACUCCAUGUGUAGCGGUGGAAUGCGUAGAUAUAUGGAAGAACACCAGUGGCGAAGGCGGCUUACUGGACAACAACUGACGUUGAGGCUCGAAAGUGUGGGUAGCAAACAGGAUUAGAUACCCUGGUAGUCCACACCGUAAACGAUGAAUACUAGGUGUUAGGAGGUUUCCGCCUCUUAGUGCCGAAGCUAACGCAUUAAGUAUUCCGCCUGGGGAGUACGACCGCAAGGUUGAAACUCAAAGGAAUUGACGGGGACCCGCACAAGCGGUGGAGCAUGUGGUUUAAUUCGAAGCAACGCGAAGAACCUUACCAGGUCUUGACAUCCUUUGAAGCUUUUAGAGAUAGAAGUGUUCUCUUCGGAGACAAAGUGACAGGUGGUGCAUGGUCGUCGUCAGCUCGUGUCGUGAGAUGUUGGGUUAAGUCCCGCAACGAGCGCAACCCUUAUUGUUAGUUGCCAGCAUUCAGUUGGGCACUCUAGCGAGACUGCCGGUGACAAACCGGAGGAAGGCGGGGACGACGUCAGAUCAUCAUGCCCCUUAUGACCUGGGCUACACACGUGCUACAAUGGCGUAUACAACGAGUUGCCAACCUGCGAAGGUGAGCUAAUCUCUUAAAGUACGUCUCAGUUCGGACUGCAGUCUGCAACUCGACUGCACGAAGUCGGAAUCGCUAGUAAUCGCGGAUCAGCACGCCGCGGUGAAUACGUUCCCGGGUCUUGUACACACCGCCCGUCACACCAUGGGAGUUUGUAAUGCCCAAAGCCGGUGGCCUAA
rnacentral:rRNA from 1 species